UACGUAGGUGGCGAGCGUUGUCCGGAUUUACUGGGCGUAAAGAGCGCGCAGGCGGUCGUACAAGUCGCGUGUGAAAGCCCCUGGCUCAACUGGGGAGGGUCACGCGAUACUGUUCGACUCGAAGGCAGGAGAGGGAAGUGGAAUUCCCGGUGUAGUGGUGAAAUGCGUAGAUAUCGGGAGGAACACCAGUGGCGAAGGCGACUUGCCAGAACGCACUCGACGGUGAGGGAUGAAAGCU
rnacentral:rRNA from 1 species